ACUGUCGAGGUAUCAUGGUGCUUGUGUUCAAGUUGACCUCAUUUUACUUAGAAAUGGCCCGAGCACCAGAAGAGCGGUGGGGGACGCUGCGUUGCAGAAGGAAGCUGGGGAGAGCUUCCUGGACUGAGCAGGUAAACGACUGACUAGAGGUCUCCUUCCCGGCCUUCUGGAACUCUUGCUCCUGAGUGUGAACAUUGACCGUGCUCUGUACACCGAGGCAGGCGCUGGGCUGCACCUAUGAAUCCUCACGACAACCCGGCGGGCCAGAGCCCAUCUGCACUGUGACACAGGUGAGGCACCACAGCGCGGGAAGAGGAACUGUCCCCAGGAUACUGUUUGGGAGUCAGAGCAGGGAUUUCAUCCCAGACCCCAGAGCCCACAGCCUGCUACCACUCAGCACUCCAGCCCUGCGGCCAGGCGACGAAAGCACCAGGAAAAGCAGGCAUCAGAGACACGGUUCUAAUCCCUGCUGGUUUUCAUCAAGCUAGGAACUUUGUCUUGGUCGCUAGGACUCAGUCUCCCCUCCCACAAAAAGGGGGAGCUUAAUCUGACAUUCACUAUGGUUCCUUCUGAUUUAUAUUUUGCUAAUCCUAUCAUGUGUCAAACUGAGCUCUGUAAGCUCAGUGGGAAAGGAAAUCAUUGUGUCUCUGACAGCCAAAAAUCCAUUGGCAAAAUAGUGAAAUAAGAAAAAAGAGCCACGCACCAUAGAAGUGACCAGGGAUGUACCGGGCUGCCCACCAUGCACUAGGAACCCAAGUGACCCAAGUCCAUGUCAGUGAAUUUACCUUCUCUGCUUAAACCCGUUCAUCAUGGAAACAGCUGAUACACUGUUCAUCUUUGUUAGGCCCUCUUGGGUUUCUACCCUUCAUUUCUUGCCAGAUAAACAAACAAAGUUACUUUCCAGAGCUGCUAGGCGUCCCUCAGGUGUCGGAGCUGCAGAGGAAAGCUACUUUGUAGCUCGUUUCUCUGAAGCUCAGGAUUUCAUUCUCAGUGAAAAGACAUGGAAAGAACAACCACCUCUUACUCCCCUCAGUGGAGCUGAAGGACGAGAAACCGGAGCGCAGGCGUUUGUCUUGGGGGAGGUGUGCCCACCCUGGCUGCAGCCUCCGCCCCGGUCACAGCUGCACCAGCUCCUGGAGGGAGUCCAUCGCCUCCCUGCACU